GCGCUUUGUGUGCAUAAUGUCAGAUAACAAAAGAAAUUACCUUCCUCCGUACACUUAUGAUGCUGGUUUUUUCUUUCUCAGAAAAAAUGCUGUUGAAAUAACAUAAGCCACCGUUGACGCAACAAUAAGCACGCCAACAAGAACACAAACAGUCGUCACCACAACGUAGAUGUACCUGCAGUAGUAUAAUAACAUCAAUCCCCUUUUUUCAAACAUAAUCAUCAAAUUGUCUUUUAUCAACCACAUCGUCAACAGUAACACUUACUUUGGAGAAAAAACGGUCCAUAUAAAUAAAUGGUUCCUCAUCACCAACAGUAUGAUGGUGUACGCAACCAAAAGUACAGAAUUCAAACCCAGUGGAACCAAACACGGGAACCCAAGAAACAUCUUCACAAGUUGACCCGUAUUUACUUCACGAUUCUUUAGAAUACUAUUAGUUUCUUUAACAGAAACCGACAUCACCAUACUAAGGAGAGCUAACAUAGGAGAUGCAUACGUUAUCACGAACAUUAUCACUCCACUCAACACCGUUGAAUGACUAGAGAUUCCCUGCCAAUAUAACACGCCGUUAUUAUAAGAAAAUCAAAAAAGAAUUAGAGUAAACUGCCAUUUUGGUCCCCUGUGGUUUGGUCACUUUUGCCACUUUAGUCCAAAACUCAAACUUUUUGCAUCUGGGUCCCUGUGGUUUCAGUUUUAUUGCCAUUUUGGUCCAAAAAUGAAAUUAGGUUUGAGUUUUGGACUAAAGUGGUAAAAGUGACCAAACCUCAGGGACCAAAAUGACAAUUUUAUAGUCGAAGGAACAUAACAAUAUAACAUACAAUGAACGCUCCCGCAACAUCAAUCGUUGCUAGCGUAUUCGUGUUUCCAAGACUGAAAUGGCCCGCCAUUCCUAAAUAAUAUAUAGCCGCAAUCUGGAUUAAAAACAAAAAACAAAAUAAAUAUAUUAAAAAUGCAUAUGGUUAAUUGCAACAAAAAUAAAGAAAUAGGAGGAUUAACAUUAACCUCAACCCACUGCUUAACAUCAGAACCACCACGAGAAACAUAAUAAAUAGUAGCAACGAUUUGCACAAGAAGCAGUGAAAUAACCAUCGAAUUAACGGGUUGUUGUAGCAAAAGUUGUAGAAGACACCAACCAAACAUGUAUGCGGUCCCACUAAGGUACAAACUAUCUUUAAUCACCGAAACCAGAUCCUUGCUUUUAAAAGACAUAAACCAUGGUGAUGCAAUAACCGUUACCGUUACAGAUGCGAUGAUCAAACCAUAAAUUAGUCGUACGGCCACGAUCGCGUCAUUACCAGAGGUUCCAGUUUCAGUUUCACUACCCUGAUACUUUAUGACGUAAUGUAGAACCAGUAAACCGGUACAUAAGUAGCUUAGUC
rnacentral:lncRNA from 1 species